rnacentral:rRNA from 1 species
GACGUCGUGCGGAGCCUACACAUGCAAGUCGAGCGGAUGAAAGGAGCUUGCUCCUGGAUUCAGCGGCGGACGGGUGAGUAAUGCCUAGGAAUCUGCCUGGUAGUGGGGGACAACGUUUCGAAAGGAACGCUAAUACCGCAUACGUCCUACGGGAGAAAGCAGGGGACCUUCGGGCCUUGCGCUAUCAGAUGAGCCUAGGUCGGAUUAGCUAGUUGGUGAGGUAAUGGCUCACCAAGGCGACGAUCCGUAACUGGUCUGAGAGGAUGAUCAGUCACACUGGAACUGAGACACGGUCCAGACUCCUACGGGAGGCAGCAGUGGGGAAUAUUGGACAAUGGGCGAAAGCCUGAUCCAGCCAUGCCGCGUGUGUGAAGAAGGUCUUCGGAUUGUAAAGCACUUUAAGUUGGGAGGAAGGGCAGUAAAUUAAUACUUUGCUGUUUUGACGUUACCGACAGAAUAAGCACCGGCUAACUCUGUGCCAGCAGCCGCGGUAAUACAGAGGGUGCAAGCGUUAAUCGGAAUUACUGGGCGUAAAGCGCGCGUAGGUGGUUUGUUAAGUUGGAUGUGAAAUCCCCGGGCUCAACCUGGGAACUGCAUCCAAAACUGGCAAGCUAAAGUAUGGUAUAGGGUGGUGGAAU